UAGUUAAAACCAAAGUAGAGGUAUAUUACUGUUAAUAAUAAAAUUGGAUUAAAUCCUAACUAG
rnacentral:tRNA from 1 species